AGUGCCUGCUAUGUGCCAGGCAUUGUGC
rnacentral:miRNA from 1 species